CUACGGGUCGCAGCAGUAGGGAAUCUUGCGCAAUGGGCGAAAGCCUGACGCAGCAACGCCGCGUGAACGAUGAAGCUUUUCGGAGUGUAAAGUUCUGUCAGUGGGGACGAAAUUUGACGGUACCCACAGAGGAAGCACCGGCUAACUCCGUGCCAGCAGCCGCGGUAAUACGGAGGGUGCGAGCGUUGUCCGGAAUCAUUGGGCGUAAAGAGUUCGUAGGUGGUAUGUUAAGUCUGGUGUUAAAGCCCGAAGCUCAACUUCGGUUCGGCACUGGAUACUGGCAAACUUGAAUGUGGUAGAGGUAAAGGGAAUUCCUGGUGUAGCGGUGAAAUGCGUAGAUAUCAGGAGGAACAUCGGUGGCGUAAGCGCUUUACUGGGCCAUAAUUGACACUGAGGAACGAAAGCCAGGGUAGCAAAUGGGAUUAGAUACCCGGGUAGUC
rnacentral:rRNA from 1 species